GCCGGCGUAGCUCAGGGGUUAGAGCGAUUCACUCAUAAUGAAUAGGUCACUAGUUCGAUCCUAGUCGCCGGCACCA
rnacentral:tRNA from 1 species